AUGAACGCUAGCGGCAGGCUUAACACAUGCAAGUCGAGGGGCAGCGAGGGUAGCAAUACCUGUCGGCGACCGGCGCAAGGGUGCGUAACGCGUGAGCAUCAUGCCCGUAUCAGGGGGAUAAUCCAGGGAAACUUGGUCUAAUACCGCAUAAUAAUCAUUUGGGGCAUCUUGGAUGAUUUAAAAUUUCGAUGGAUACGGAUUGGCCCGCGUGACAUUAGCUGGAUGGUAGGGUAACGGCCUACCAUAGCUACGAUGUCUAGGGGUUCUGAGAGGAAGGUCCCCCACACUGGAACUGAGACACGGUCCAGACUCCUACGGGAGGCAGCAGUGAGGAAUAUUGGACAAUGGAUGGAAAUCUGAUCCAGCCAUGCCGCGUGCAGGAAGACGGCCCUAUGGGUUGUAAACUGCUUUUGUAUGGGAGCAAUAAGGGCUACGAGUAGCCUGAUGAGAGUACCAUACGAAUAAGGACCGGCUAACUCCGUGCCAGCAGCCGCGGUAAUACGGAGGGUCCGAGCGUUAUCCGGAUUUAUUGGGUUUAAAGGGUGCGUAGGCGGUUUUAUAAGUCAGCGGUGAAAUUUUCCGGCUCAACCGGGAUACUGCCGUUGAUACUGUAAGGCUAGGAUAUGGUUGCUGUGGGUGGAAUGUGUGGUGUAGCGGUGAAAUGCUUAGAGAUCACACAGAAUAUCGAUUGCGAAGGCAGCUCACAAAGCCAUUAUUGACGCUGAGGCACGAAAGUGUGGGGAUCAAACAGGAUUAGAUACCCUGGUAGUCCACACUGUAAACGAUGAUAACUCGCUGUCGGCGAUAUAAAGUCGGUGGCCAAGCGAAAGCGAUAAGUUAUCCACCUGGGGAGUACGACCGCAAGGUUG
rnacentral:rRNA from 1 species